rnacentral:lncRNA from 1 species
AGGUUAGAAUAAACUCGCCCAAGUCAACUCUAACUCGCCAUAUCUUAUGUUUAACCAAUGUAAAUUACUUCAUGAGCGCUGAAAGAGUAUGGGAAACUAUGGUAUGGAUGUGAUGGAGUGAAUAUGUGGACCACGCCCUGACUGCUGCUGUGUCUGAAGAUUGUGUAGAAUAGCAGAGAGCUGAGUAGUUGCCGUGACCUCUAUAUAAUUUUCAGCACUGGCAUGAGACGCUACACCUAUGCGCAACGGUGAGUGCACGACAUUUGCUACAACUGUGAAAUAUAAUGUGUAAAGCUGCAACG